rnacentral:rRNA from 1 species
GUUGAACGCUGGCGGCAUGCCUUACACAUGCAAGUCGAACGGUAACAGGUCUUCGGAUGCUGACGAGUGGCGAACGGGUGAGUAAUACAUCGGAACGUGCCUAGUAGUGGGGGAUAACUACUCGAAAGAGUGGCCAAUACCGCAUGAGAUCUACGGAUGAAAGCAGGGGAUCGCAAGACCUUGUGCUACUAGAGCGGCCGAUGGCAGAUUAGGUAGGUGGUGGGAUAAAAGCUUACCAAGCCGACGAUCUGUAGCUGGUCUGAGAGGACUGUCAGCCACACUGGGACUGAGACACGGCCCAGACUCCUACGGGAGGCAGCAGUGGGGAAUUUUGGACAAUGGGCGAAAGCCUGAUCCAGCAAUGCCGCGUGCAGGAUGAAGGCCUUCGGGUUGUAAACUGCUUUUGUACGGAACGAAAAGCCCCGGGUUAAUACCCUGGGGUCAUGACGGUACCGUAAGAAUAAGCACCGGCUAACUACGUGCCAGCCGCCGCAGUAA